GGUUAUGGCUUAGCGGUAGAGUGCUCGCCUUGCAUGUGCAAGGCCCCUGGGUUCGAUCCUCAGCACCA
rnacentral:tRNA from 1 species